CGUACUUUUGUUAGCGCAAUUUCCUUGCUGUUAUAUUUCCUCGUGUAAGCACGUUGCUGGUCUGCUGAUUUCAAGCAUGUAAAAUUGACUUGAAACUGCUUUUCCACGCGAAAGUUCUCAUUACGCAUAUUUCAUUCGAGUCCCGAAGCACUACCUCAAUUCCCAAUGUUUUCUCUGCUGUAACUACUCUUGCACAGAAAUAACGUCUAACAUCCAACUAUGCAUCAACGGUACUCCAUUAAUCUCUAGUUUGUUAAAUUAGCUCAAUAAAUUACCACUGUAAUCUCAGAGUUUUCGAUGGAGUCUACGUGUCCACACGGCUCCAUAACGUAUCAAACCAUCUACGCUGUUUCGUCUCGCGAACCUAAAAUCAGUUCAUUUUUGGUUGCGCAACAUUUAUUUUUGAAGUGGAAAUGAAAACGCAGGAUUGAAUCUGCAGAUGAAAAAAACGACUACACUAUCAACCGACGCAAAUAAAAGAAAAAUGGUAAUAACUGACCAGUCGGACCCGAUUCAAUUCUUGACCGAAUCGCUGCAAUGGAGAAUUUGCUGAGAAAUUUCUCAAGGGCAUUCUGAAGAUUUAUUUUUCAAUCUCAUCGUGAAGACCCGAGCAAGACAGAUCAAGUUAAUCUCCACCCAACCCUUUCGUACCCUGUUAUUUAUUUGCAAGAAGGUUGCAAACUGUCGAGGAAAAUGCGAUGCGGUCUGCAGGCUGAAGAAUUCACGUUUGUUGAAAUAAACCCGUGAACUUUUUUUUUGUAUUUUUUUAAACUGAAAAGCAGUGAGGAGCCGCGAGUUUGAGCCGUAAUGGGGCUGGUUAUUCUGUUGCUUCCACUGACGUGCUGAACAAAUGAGGCACUCUGCUCGUUAAAAGGUAGGCGCGAUGAAAGGUCUCUCAAGAAUGAAAGAUCUGCAUGACUAUUGUGUGUUUUAUGGGAGAAGCAGAAUGAUAUAAGCAAAUCGGAAAUAAAAGAUAAAAAAACUAAGGCUUUGAUCAAUAGUCAACUCAGAAUUUAAUAAAAUAUAUAUAUUUCUACAUAGAGAGCAAUAUAAUUAAGAAAUCAAACGGACAUUACAUGCAAUAUAGAUAUUUAUACGAGUAAAGGACGGAUGCCACUUCGAAUGGAGGAUGGAAAUAAAACAGCUAUCGGGGCCAUUCUUAUAUCUGUGGAUGUAAAAUGGCCAAGCAUCUUUACCUCAAUAGUUCCGUAGGAAAUAAGAUGGAUAAUGUAACAGAUAUCACUCGAAUGAUGUUCGGUUGUCGAAAGGUCAAUAGUAUUCCUAUUCAGCUCCUGGUCGUGUACAGUUUAAUAAAUGACAGCAAUCCUUUGUUUUUAAAAAGAAGAACGCGAGUGUAUCACGAUGUACAGCAAUCAUUGCUGUAUGUAAUAAAUUCCCUCAAUCAUUCAGUACAGGUACAUGAUACUCUCCUUUUUCAUUCUUCCCGUCUCCUCACUCAAAUAAUCUCUUUAACAUCCCCCGUCUAUUGUAGCCCCCCCCCCCCCCCAUCCAAACAUAUCCUGCAGUGUCUUGCUUUGUGUCCUCUAGCCAUUUUCGGUAUCCUAAUCAAUGCUUUAACUACCAGCCCGGCAGUUCCUUCCUUCGAAGCUGUGGAAUGAAAAUGUACACUUAAACUGAUUCAAACCCUGCUGACAGUGUUUGGGGGAAAAUCCGCCUGAAAACGGAUGGCAAAUAUGUUCGAGGAAACAUUACUGUGAAUACCACAUCGGUAUUAAUUGACUGCUAUUGCGCAGAACUUUUUUGUUCAAUAUAAAUGAGAAUAUUUUACCUACAGUAACAGCUCAGUUUUUCAUUGGCUAUCUAAACCAUUCUAUCACCGUCCCUGUGUGUGCUCUACAUGUUUGUAACGCUGUCCGGAUUCUUGUCCCUCUUUUUCUGUUCCAUCGUGUAAUUACAGCCUUUUCCCCAGUCCACGCUGUAAUAUGGAGUACUCACUCUCCCACACUGCAUGUGUGUUAAAUGUUGAAUUCUACUUUCGCACGUAAUCCUUUCAAUCCGCCUUUUUUCCACACAAGGUUACCCGUCAGCAAUUUAAGGAAACAAAAUGUUCAAUUCUGAGUGACCCUUUUAAAAAUCUAAAUACUAAAAAAAAAUUGCUUUCUCAAAGAAUUACAUCAGAUUGAAAAAAAGAGAACCAGUUAAGACUACCAGUUUUUUCGAGACAACGUGCCCGGGGGCAGAGACUGGACAUUAACCUGUCUCCGACUCAGCCGAAGAAUGAUAUACACACGGAGGCUCUUACAGAGGGGUUUCAGUGAGAUUCACCAAGACACACUGAAAACGGAAAGUUCGUGGGUUCACCUUGACACAUUUGGGUAUGUCUCAACCACCAAGCACACAUUUUGCAGUUACAGAGAAAGGGAUCUCGUGCAUAGAAUGACUUCGCCAAAGGUGAAUGUACAGCGAAAUAUAGAGAAAGAUAAAUACCGGCAAAAGUAGAAUCUUAAGGUGAUUGUAUCAAAUCUUAAGAUCUGUAAUGUUUAGAAAAACAAGGAAGUCAAAUUAAAAAUAAAUGUAAUGGGCACAGUGGAAUUCAGAUGGAGAUUUCUCCUAAUAUGUCAGGAAUCAGGCUAAACUAACGCAUAUCUUAAAUGGCAUAAAAAUGAGUGUAAGAUCUACUGAUACAAAUGUGUGAAUAGACAUACAUCAAUUGGUAUAGGAUGCAAAAGUCAUUGAAAAGCAGAUGAAUAGCCUGUUAAAUAAUGUGUGAGAGUGUUGAGAGAGAGAAAGAGAGAGAAUGAAGCAUGACAAUAUCAGCAUAAAUAAAAAAAUGCUGGGGAAUUCAUCUCUGGUUUUCCCAUAUGUGCAGACAGGGAAGUUCAAGGUAAACUUGGAGCCUUUGUUAUUGCAUUUGACCUUCAUUUCAUGCAGUCAGCAAGCAGUUGAUGCAGACCGCUGUGUUUCUAUCCGAUCUGCCCCGGCUCAACGAAACAGACCCGCACCCUUAAUGAAUGCUGUCCUGUAUAAUUAAAUAAUUGACCGCUCCCCGGAGGAGUCUUGCGCAGCAUCUGUCCCAUGACUCCACAUAGUAUCCUAGACAAUGCAGACCGGGCAGAUAUUGAAGGAGGGAUCCCUUUUCUUAUGCUCUUUGGGAAAUUGCCUUAUGUGAAAUACGGGAAAACUAAACUGUUUAAUAAAAUGUAUGUUAUUGUAAUAGGAAUAUUAAAACACUUUUGCAUCUUGACGCCAUUAAUAUAAACAUCUAUCUUUUCAAGUCAUGCUCCCUAAUAUUUCCCUUUAACUGUUAUACAAUAGGGGGGAAAGUAAGUCUCACUAACUCAAACAGCCCAGUGACCUGUCUGCUGAAUCUGAACUAAAACCCAUUUUGAAUAUAGAGGAAUGAAUAUAUUGCCUAUAAAAGGCAAACAGGCAGUACACGUGGAUCUGUUUGCGUGGAAUAUGUUUUGAUAGUUUCGUGUACAAAGCUGUAUUUCCGGCACCUUACAAUGGUUGGAAAGUUGAAGCAUUUUUGGUGAAUUCAUUGGUAACUUGUUCUAAUGUCUCAGAGCACGGAUUCACCAUUGGCACGGGGCUGGGGUUUUGUGUGCAUGUUUCUAUAUUGCUUCAGACUUUCACAAAAUCGCAUAAAUAAAAUAUUAAAUUAG